AGGACGAACGCUGGCGGCGUGCUUAACACAUGCAAGUCGAGCGGAAAGGCCCUUCGGGGUACGUCGAGCGGCGAACGGGUGAGUAACACGUGAGCAACCUGCCCUUAGCUCUGGGAUAGCUCCGGGAAACCGGAAUUAAUACCGGAUAUGACCUAGGCCGACAUCGGCCGUGGUGGAAAGUUUUUCGGCUAGGGACGGACUCGCGGCCUAUCAGCUAGUUGGUGGGGUAAUGGCCUACCAAGGCGACGACGGGUAG
rnacentral:rRNA from 1 species